GUAGGGGGCAAGCGUUAUCCGGAAUUAUUGGGCGUAAAGAGUGCGUAGGUGGUUACCUAAGCAGGGGGUGAAAGGCAAUGGCUCAACCAUUGUUAGCCCUCUGAACUGGGUUACUUGAGUGCAGGAGAGGAAAGCGGAAUUCCUAGUGUAGCGGUGAAAUGCGUAGAUAUUAGGAGGAACACCAGUGGCGAAGGCGGCUUUCUGGACUGAAACUGACACUGAGGCACGAAAGUGUGGGGAGCAAA
rnacentral:rRNA from 1 species